GCCCGUUUAGCAUAGUCGUUAUUGCGCGGCACUUGUAUCGUGUCGAGUGGAUUAGCCACUUCAUGUCAUGCCGAGGUCGCUAGUUCAAAUCUGGCAACGGGCA
rfam:Puccinia sorghi strain RO10H11247 Scaffold_791, whole genome shotgun sequence.